CACAUUUAGAGAGGGGGGCGGGGAAUUUCACUGGUGUGUACUAUAUUACUUCUACCCUCCCCUUCCUCUCUCUCCAGCGUAUGUGCAGAGGCAUAUAUAAAUACGACCUGGGUUCAUUCACAUUGCUCAUCUGGGUGUUUCUCUUCCCAGGGCUGGGGCCCAGAUGUCCAGAUUCUCCGGCUCUUACAACGAACACUUCAUCUUCUCCGAUGUUCCUGAGCCUCAGCCUCCUUCAGAUCCCUCCAGCCAGCAUCAGGAGUGUAAACCAGCAAUGGACUGCAGCUGCGAGCCAAGACUCCAGUCUGAGCGUCCCCACCAGAUGUGUGGGCCAAGAGGCCCCAGCUCCAAGGUAGCAGCCUGCAAGAAGGUGCUUUCUGGAGGUGGACUACAGCCAUCUGUUUGCUCCCUGUACAUAUGCACACAGAAGAGCUCACACACCUCCAUGUGCACUCCACCUGCAAACACACUUAAACAUGCAAACACACACAUAGACUGCCUUGUCACAAACACACACUCAUGCACACAUUCUCAAUCAC